AGGAAGGCCAGGACGUGACCCCAGCCGUGCCUCCCCGGGAGCUCCUGGCCCACACCGGGUCUCCGUGGGCGGGAGAGCGAAAUCACAGUGUGAGGAGAACACGAAGGGGAGGACGGAUUAACCCCAGGGGAGG